rnacentral:lncRNA from 1 species
GGUAACGCCAACUUCAAUAGCACGUCACGCACCGCGCGUUUCUUCAAAUGGCUUGAAACGCAGUGUGCGCAUUUGUGCAGGCUUCCCGAGUGGACAAAUGGUGGUCAUUUAGCUUCACUGUGCUGCGCAGUGCUGCAGAGAAUCAUUUCGCUGGAGACACUA